GCGACCCCCAGGGUCAGGCGGGACUA
rnacentral:rRNA from 1 species